AGAGUUUGAUCCUGGCUCAGAACGAACGCUGGCGGCGCGCUUAACACAUGCAAGUCGAACGAGAAGCUGUAGCAAUACAGUUGUAAAGUGGCAAACGGGUGAGUAAUGCGUGGGUAAUCUACCCUAGGGUGGGGAAUAACUCCUCGAAAGGGGAGCUAAUGCCGACAUGUGCGCCACUCUCGCAAGGGAGUGAUGGAAAGCCGUACCGUGGGUGCGGCGCCCAAGGAUGAGCUCACGUCCUAUCAGCUUGUUGGCGGGGUAACGGCCCACCAAGGCUCCGACGGGCAGCUGGUCUGAGAGGACGACCAGCCACACUGGCACUGCGACACGGGCCAGACUCCUACGGGAGGCAGCAGUGAGGAAUAUUGCGCAAUGGACGACAGUCUGACGCAGCGACGCCGCGUGGGGGAUGAAGGCCUUCGGGUUGUAAACCCCUUUCAGGAGGGAAGAUGGGACGGGUAACCGUUCGGACGGUACCUCCAGAAGCAGCCACGGCUAACUCUGUGCCAGCAGCCGCGGUAAGACAGAGGUGGCAAGCGUUGUUCGGAUUUACUGGGCGUAAAGAGUGCGUAGGUGGUGAGGUAAGAUCUGUGGGAAAGACCUGGGCUUAACCCAGGAAGGUCGCAGAUGACUGCCUCGCUUGAGACGGGAGAGGAGAGCGGAAUUCCCGGUGUAGCGGUGUAAUGCGUAGAGAUCGGGAAGAAGCCGGUGGCGAAUGUGGCUCUCUGGAACGUUCCUGACUCUGAGCACGAAAGCGUGGGGAGCAAACAGGAUUAGAUACCCUGGUAGUCC
rnacentral:rRNA from 1 species